CCGUUUAAUAAGUCAGAUAACAUGACAUCAGCUGACAUAUCGUGGCAUUAAAUUCCAAACCAUUGCACAUAAAUCCAAAGUAUAUGAGAUUCAGAGGAUUGUAGAGAUGGCGAGCAUUCGAUUUAUUACCAUGCGGCGAGAUAAAGUUCCAAGCUUUUUCUCUUUAAAAAAAAAUAAAUGACAGGAAAUACCUUGCAUUGGCUGACUGCUUGAAUUCUUGCAAUUAGCCAUGUGUGACCGAGAAAGGUCGAAACUAACAAUUAACAUUCGUGAGAUGGAGGAACAUUUGGGCAAAUGAGAAAUAUGUAGUUCUUCUAAAAGUCCUUAAAUUGCUGAAGUAUAUAAUUGAAAGUUUAUACUUCCUAGCGAGAAAGAAAAAAGAGCUUAACUUUUGAAACGUUGCAGUUCAUUAUGUUAGAAUAUAAUUACACUUGUCUUUUGAUUCUGGGGGUGAAAAAUGUCUAGACCCAUCAUUGUAUGACUGGGCUGCACAGCUUAAGUCUAUUAUACCUUUUUUUUUUAUAUUUCAUGUGCAAUCUUAAGGUCAAAAACUACCUCUCCCCACAUAUUUAGACACAGUGAAAAGGCCGCAAAUGCAGUGAAGGCAGAAAAUAUUUUAAAAAGCAGGACUCUUUGUCUCAAAGUGGGUAAACAAUUUUCUUACCACAGGAAAAACCGCUGCUAAAUUUAAACUUUAGUAUUUCUAAAGUACUUAAAAUGAGUCAAGAUGUUAUGAUGUCCUUCAAAGAACUGAAUCGAAAGCAUUUUUUUAAAUAUCCAAGUCAGAAGAUCUUAAAGCAGUUUUUCAAACAGUCAACAUAAAGUUUUAUACGUCUGGACGUAAUAAAACAAAUGGUGUGGUCUUUAGCAGAUCUGAAAAUGAUUCAGAUUCAACCUCGGCUUGAUUACAAAACACAACAGAAGCAAUUGUUGCUGCUCAUCAAUCUGUUUUUAACCUUUCCAAAGAAUUUGAAGUCUAUCAUUCUACAGUGAGAAAGAUUAUUCAUAAGUGGAAAAAAUUCAAGGCAGUUUUCACAGAAGUGGAUGUCCCAGCAGGGUCACCACAAGGUCAGACCAUGUAAUGUACCAUGUACCAACUCUGUUUGCAGGGCUUGCCAGGAGAAAGCCUCUUCUCUCUAAAAAGAACAUGGCAGCACAGCUUGGCUUUGCUAAGUUGCACCUGAACAAAGUCCUUUGGACAGAUGAGACCAAAGUACAGAUGUUUAACCAUAAUGCACAGCACAAGAAAAACCAAGCAUAGCAAGCAUAUCAGCACAAACACUUCAUACCAACUGUCAAGCACAGUGGUGGAGGGGUGAUGAUUUGGGCUUGUUUUGCACCUGGGCACCAUGCAGUCACUGAACCAUUAAAACACCACAAACUCCUCUGUAUACCAAAGUAUUCUAGAGGCAAAUGUGGGGCCAUCUAUCUGAUUGCUUAGGCAGGUGGCACAGCAGCAAAUUUACAACAGAAAGGCUGAAAAAUAACAGAAUCAAAGUGCUGCAAAGUCCAGACUUCAGCCUGACUGAAUGGUGGUGUGGGACCUAGACAGAGCUGUACAUAAACAAAUCUCCACAAACAUCAAUGAAGAAAGCAACACUGUAUAGAAGAGAAAUGAAAAAAUGACAAGAGACUCAUAAUUUUAAGUUAUUUCACUGCUUCUAUAUUUUGGAUUAGUUUUUAAUAAAUAAAUAAUGCCAUGGUGUAAUGCCAUGAAUUGCUGUUCAACUGAGGUUGUAUUUACCAAAUUUUCAGACCUGAUAAGGACCAGAUGUAAAAUCCUAGAACUGAAAGAGGGUGCACUUUUUUGUCAUUUGACUGUUAAUGAUAUUCAUCUUUUUAGCCGACCAUAAUCACCCGGUGAAAUAAAGAUGAAAAAAGACUGCUUAAGAAUUGCAGGCGUCGUGUUUUAGAAUCUGCUCACUAGAACAUUUUAAAACUGAAAUGUCAGCAGAGGAUUGGACGUCUACUUGUGCCAGAGUUCAUACCGCAGACUGACACACUAUACCUGGGUAAAGUGAACAUAUGCUCCUGCCAAAUGAUAUGUGCACUAAAUGAGACUACUGCUUUUGCAGUGCAGGACAUUUUGGCAAGAGGUCAGAGCAACAUGUGAAAAUGUGAAAAUUAUUUUAAAUUCCCCUGGACCCAAACCCUUGUGCUUGGCUUAUAUCCAGCCCUUUGUAUGUGUAACUGUGAAGAAAAAUGAACCCACUGCUUUAAACGCCAAAAACCUAAAUGCAUUAUUUUGGGACAUUAAAAUCCCUAAUCCCACUGGACAAGACAAUGAAUGGCAAAUGAAAGAAUAACAUAUAUUCUGAAUAACAAAUCAAAAAUAUUCAAGGAAUAUUUUUUGAAAUAUGUGGAAGAUCUGGCAGAAAAUUAGCCAUAAAAGCUGUUGUAGACCAUAAUCUGUUUUUUUCCUUCAACAAACACUUGAAUAUAUGUCACGUGCAUUCUUCCCCUACUGUAUGUUUUUAAAAGAAAAAUAGUAUUCGUGUGUGUUUUGAGUCCAGCUGGGUGUAGAAAGGGUGUGGGCCAUCACUUGACAGAGGCAAUCGGGUUGGAAAGAGAUAAGAAAAAAAAAAGUACAGUCUGGUCCACCCCAGAUGUCAUCACAGUAUGCUAAUGAGGCAGAGUGGGGUCUUUAAGUGCUGGAACCCAACAGAGGGACAAGUAAGGAGACCAGACGAUGACACACACUGAAGGCAAAGAAGUUACAAACUACGGGGACUCCCUGCUCACGGUUCUGUCUUGUGCCCUGGACAGGAUAUCAUCUUAUACUGUAAGUUUAUUAAAGAGACACUACAGUAUAGAUGAUGUACUAUCCAGGGUUUCAUUCCCCCUCCGCUGCUAUCAGCACACCAACACUUUAACUGACCGAAGCCUGAACACUCUGAGGGAGGCUGUCAAACCGUUACCAUUACUGAGUUUUAGUAAUGGUAAGGGUUCUACGGCCUUCUCUCGAUGUCAUCUAGACCGGAAGGACCAACGGGAGGAAUCGCUGGAGACUGAUGUGUCAUUCACGAGCUCCUGGCGGAUAUUUCCUUUUUUUUUAAUAAUAGGUGCAUAUGAAAUAAAGCAGAUGGUUCUUAAA